UUAGAGCGUCCUUUGGACGAUAAACAAAACAAAGAUCACUUAGGUGAUCACUUACUUAAACAAAGCACAGCUUUGGUUUUACUUUGGUUGCUAUUACAAAAGAUAACCCCUUAGAUUAGUAACAGGGAAAGAGAUAGUUUAUAAUUAUGAAUUUUAAUGAAUAAUUAUAAAUUAAUGAAGUCUCGUAGCUCAGCUGGUUAGAGCGCUACACUGAUAAUGUAGAGGUCGGCAGUUCGAGCCUGCCCGAGACUACUAAUUUAAAAGAUUUGAAGUUAGAGAUUGGAAGUUUGAAGAGAUAAUUUCAAACCUCAAACUAAGAAUUUCAAAUUUAAGAGGGGGAAUUAGCUCAGCUGGCUAGAGCGCCUGCCUUGCACGCAGGAGGUCAAGGGUUCGACUCCCUUAUUCUCCACAGUUUUAGAAGAGAGACACAAGUAUACGAAUAGAGCCAAUAACAAUAUUCGUUUGUUGAUCAGAAGAAAAGAACAAAAGAUCAUUGACAUUAACGGUAAAGACAUCACAAAGAGAUAACCGAGCACUCCUUGAGUGCAGAGUAAAAAAUAAAUUAAUUAUUAGGAAAG
rnacentral:misc_RNA from 1 species